ACGGAGGAUCCAAGCGUUAUCCGGAUUUAUUGGGUUUAAAGGGUGCGUAGGCGGUCCUAUAAGUCAGUGGUGAAAGACAGCAGCUUAACUGUCGCAGUGCCUUUGAUACUGUAGGACUUGAAUCUAUUUGAAGUGGGCGGAAUAAGACAAGUAGCGGUGAAAUGCAUAGAUAUGUCUUAGAACUCCGAUUGCGAAGGCAGCUCACUAAGUUAGUAUUGACGCUGAUGCACGAAAGCGUGGGGAUCAAACAGGAUUAGAUACCCUGGUAGUCCACGCCCUAAACGAUGAUAACUCGAUGUUUGCGAUACACAGUAAGCGUCCAAGCGAAAGCGUUAAGUUAUCCACCUGGGGAGUACGGUCGCAAGAUUG
rnacentral:rRNA from 1 species